rnacentral:rRNA from 1 species
CAGUAGCCGCGGUAAUACGUAGGGUGCGAGCGUUAAUCGGAAUUACUGGGCGUAAAGCGUGCGCAGGCGGUUGUGUAAGACAGGUGUGAAAUCCCCGGGCUUAACCUGGGGACUGCGCUUGUGACUGCACAGCUAGAGUAUGGCAGAGGGGGGUGGAAUUCCACGUGUAGCAGUGAAAUGCGUAGAGAUGUGGAGGAACACCGAUGGCGAAGGCAGCCCCCUGGGCCAAUACUGACGCUCAUGCACGAGAGCGUGGGGAGCAAACAGGAUUAGAUACCCCUGUAGUCCCUGUCUCUUAUAC